GACGAACGCUGGCGGCGUGCCUAAUACAUGCAAGUCGAGCGAGCAAUUUUAGCAGAAUACCUUCGGGUAGGAAGCUAAGAGCGCGAGCGGCGGAUGGGUGAGUAACACGUGGGCAACCUACCCUUUAGCUGGGGAUACCACUUGGAAACAGGUGCUAAUACCGAAUAAGAAGCAAGAGCGCAUGCUCAAGCUAUGAAAGGCGGCUUUAAGCUGUCACUAAAGGAUGGGCCCGCGGUGCAUUAGCUAGUUGGUAAGGUAACGGCUUACCAAGGCGAGGAGGGAUAGCCGAGUUGAGAGACUGAACGGCCACAUUGGGACUGAGACACGGCCCAAACUCCUACGGGGGGCAGCAGUAGGGAAUCUUACACAAUGGACGCAAGUCUGAUGGAGCAACGCCGCGUGAGUGAAGAAGGUUUUCGGAUCGUAAAGCUCUGUUGUUGGUGAAGGAGGAUAAGGAUAGUAACUGAUUCAUAUUUGACGGUAAUCAACCAGAAAGUCACGGCUAACUACGUGCCAGCAGCCGCUGUAA
rnacentral:rRNA from 1 species